rnacentral:rRNA from 1 species
AGAAUCAACGCUGGCGGCGCGCUUAACACAUGCAAGUCGCACGAGAAAGCAGGAGCAAUCUUGUGAGUACAGUGGCGCACGGGUGAGUAACACGUGGAUCAUCUACCUUCUAGUGGGGAAUACCCCUGGGAAACCGGGGAUAAUACCGCAUAAGCUCGAAAGAGGAAAGUCGAAAGGCGCUGGAAGAGGAGUCCGCGGCUGAUUAGCUAGUUGGUGGGGUAACGCCCACCAAGGCGAAGAUCGGUAGCCGGCCUGAGAGGGCACACGGCCACACUGGCACUGAAACACGGGCCAGACUCCUACGGGAGGCAGCAGUGGGGAAUCUUGCACAAUGGGGGCAACCCUGAUGCAGCGACGCCGCGUGAGCGAUGAGGCCCUUGGGGUGUAAGCUCUUUCGACGGGAACGAUUAUGACGGUACCGAAGAGAAGCUGCGGCUAACUACGUGCCAGCAGCCGC